UCCUGUGAAAAGAUACACCCCAAUAACUCUAGUCUUCCAAACUCAUCUGCUGUUGAAACAAGUGUUGUCCAUUCUCUCUUCCUGAGAUUGAUAACUUCCAUCUAAGAAGACAUUUCUCAUCAGAAUGUCUGCAACCCAAGCUGCCUUUGGACUGAGUUGUUUUCUGGUGGGAGACAACGGACAGUGAACCUGGAACCUUGUCUGGAAAGAAAAUCACAAAGACGUAUGGAGGAGAGACAGAAAUAAAUUCCUACAAAGAAACCAAUAGGUGCAGCGCAUGUUGGGGCCAUCUCCUGUAAACCCCUCCGGAGAGAGGGCAUUUGCUCAUCCAGCCAGGCCCACAGCUUAGCUCAUGGAAGCGCAUCCACAAGCUGAGAAGUUGUGCAAAGAGUGAUGCACUGAGCUCAGCUUCAUCCUCCAACAUCCCUAGUGAGGCCACAGCCCAGGAGCCAGUGAGUCCAGUCUGUUUCAGAAGCCACAGGGGGUCUGAGGAGCCAGUGGGACAAGGAAACACUGGGGCCCAUAAAAACCUC